rnacentral:sRNA from 1 species
ACAGCAGACGAUAAAUCCCCCGCACGUGUUUAUUUUUUUUUUCCUCUCUCGCUGCAAAAAGAAGAGCAGUGACCGAAGCGUUACUUCGCUACAACCAACAGAAGAAAAAAAUCUCGAUGAAUGUGAUUCAACACCCUAUGUAAUUUUUUGCACGGCCAGUUGCUUCUUGGUGCUGCAAAAUCCAUUUGACUUGCGCUAUAUAUGUAUAAUAUCGCUUAUUCACGAGAGGAAAAAGUUUGGUCCAAUCUCAGAAAAAGUCAAAUAUUCAAGACGAUGUGAUUCAGUGGGUGUCAUAUAAAAAUAAAACUGGGCCUCAACACCUCCGAACUCCACAACGUACGGAAUGUCAACAAAUGGAAGAAUUACACGGGUCCUCAGAUAUUACUAGAUAAAUACGAAGAUAUUUAACGGGGCAAUUCGUCUUGACGGUAUUGUGUCAUAAAACAAUUGUUGAUUUAUUGGAUCGGUGUUUUUAAAAGGAAUCCCCAGUGCUAGGGCACUCGACACUUCCAUUAUGAGAUUUUAUUGCCGCCGUAUUUUAUCGCUACAGGUGUCGUCUGCUACCCGGGUCAAUGGGGAUGUUGUCUAUUCGAUCGUCUGACUCUAGUGGUUGGCGAGCCGCGAUUAGGAGGCCGAAGAAAACUGCUUCCUUGGUUCGAGACUCCUUGAGCGGGACACUAAGAGCCCGAUGGGUACAGGACACAGGUGCUUUCGUCUAUUCGUGGAGUACAUGUACGUGUAAUGAUGCGCUAAUAAAUUAAGAACGGGGGGGGGGGGGGGGGGCAUUUAAUUAUACAAUCUCGGGCACCCGUGUCACUAACAAGUUGAAACAUCUACAUGUAUUAUUUUCGAAAUUUAAAAGGAUGAAAAUCUGACACGAACAAUGAUUAUGGCCCCCAAAGCAAUCGAUAUUUUUGAAAAGGAGGAUUGGGGGUGUACUUUGAUUUACAAAUUAAAAAGAGGAUUAAUUUUUUUUCCAACUUGAAAUAGAUCGAUUUGUUAAUCACAUGUACAUGUUAAUUGUUCAUACAUAUUUGAACCUCAUUUCAUAUUUCAUAAGGGACCCCUACCCCAUUUUUGAUGAUAUUUAUUUAAAAACCCCAAAAAGUAAAUUAGUAGUACUACAGAAAAAGAACGUCAAGUCAAUUGAGUUUGUUUAUUGAAUUGAUGAGUAUAAAUUUAAACAAUAGGUAGAAUCAUGACAACUCGUUAUGUCAAUCAUAAUCGUUACGCAUUGUUAAUUACAUAUACACUGUAACUUUAGAAGUA